AAUAGGAACAGCUUCGUACAAAAAAGGGGGCCUUUAAGCGUCUGCGUUGCAUAGAAACAGAAAUUAUCCGAAGGAAGCUGUUGCUACAAAAACAUGAAGAUGCUAACCACAACGUUUUGAAAACGAGCGUUUUGCCAACGAUAACGUUUUUCUACUUAUUUUGCUAGACUACUGACCGCUAAAGCAGGUUGCUAGAUAUAGCAUUAUAUCAGGGACAUAGCAAUAUCCCCGACUGUGUGUUAUGUAAGCUACCCUAACAAGUAGCCACUGCACUGGCUAGGCUAACGUUACUGUAGAUAGCUAACCAACGUCGGGUUGAAAACAUGCCCGUUUCGACAGCUAGCUAAUAAGUUAACUUAGACAUGACUUCGAAUGGGUUUCGGUCAUAUUUUAAGUGAAUGCAUGCAAAUAUGUGUAGCUAUAUCUAGUUAGUUAGCUAACGUUAAGCGGUUACUUGCCGUUAAUCACAGACUAAGUGCAUUUCUUUUGCUAGCUAACUUCUAGCCACGUACUUUACUGUAACUAGCUAACGUUAGUUUACGUUCGCUAACUAGCUAAGCUGCUGUGAGACGCAGCUCAUUUCCCCUUCCUAAAGGUAGAAUGGCAGGCGACGCCAGUGGCAUUCCUGAACUGGACCAAGAUAAAUAUGAUGCAGAUGAAGAAGUCAAGAUAAUCUUCCUUGGAGACAGUGCAGUGGGAAAAUCCAAGUUGAUGGAGAGGUUUCUGAUAGACGGAUACUGUCAACCUAUGCCCUGACGCUCUACAAAUACACUACCACCAUCGACAGCAAGGCUGUAUUAGUAGACUUCUGGGAUACGGCCGGACAGGAGAGGUUCCAGAGCAUGCAUCCCUCGUACUACCAUAAGGAUCACGCCUGUAUCAUGGUAAGACUUCACACUAGCUGCUAAGAUAACAACAUUACUUCAAGGCUCAUACUUAUGUCAUAGCUUGUAUCAUUAACUGUACUUGUCUUUGUCAGGUGUUUGAUGUGCAGAGGAAGAUCACUUAUAAGAACCUGACCAGCUGCUGAUAUGAAGGUGACCCAGAGAAAAUGUAACUUUGCCAAGAAGCAGGGGCUUCCUUUGUACUUUGUAUCUGCUGCUGAUGGGACCAACGUAGUCAAGAUGUUCAAAGAAACAAUCAAAAUGGCAAUGUCUUACAAGCAGAACUCUAGUGACUUCAUGGAUGAAGUAAUGCGGGAGCCGGAGGCUCUGCUCUUCAAGGUUGCUCCCCACCCAAGGAAAUGCUCAGAACUUUGAGCUGGAGCAGAAGAAGGAGUCGUCGUUAGAGAUGGCUGAGGGACUGAAACCAGAGAGCCCUGAGUCUGUCUGUCUGGCUGGAUGUUGAUGUGGAUACAUUACCCUCACAUUAUGGACACAUUAUCUUUACAUUAUACUGGCAUUGUGAAUAUGAGAGCUGUUUCUGACUGCACCGCACCUAUGGAUGCUGUGGAUAUGUUAUCCUAAAUGUGUUGACAUGAUACCUCUUUACCAUGGGAGAGCUGUGCUCCAGAGUCUGUAACUGAUGUUGUGGAUAUGUUAUAUUCACAUUAUUCUCACAUUGUGGACAUGUUGUCCUUACAUCCUCAUGUUUGUAUUUUUUGUUUUAUGUUAUGCCAUGGAAGAGACAUGCUUUUAUGGGGCUGAUGCUGCAGAAAAUGUUAACCUAUGAGCCAUAUAAUAGUAGUGACCUGUGAGAGCUGGGGCAUUCUAUUGAUGUGAGAACAAACAUAUUGUAGGAUAGAUGUUGUGGCAGGCAUGGUGAACGUGUGCCAAAGUGUGUGACGCAGGCUGUUUGAGGUUAAUCUAGAAUGUGAUGCCUUGUAAAAUGUGGGACACACUCUAUACCUAUAAUCCCUAUUCUUGCUAUUUUAUGAUAGCAAAGUGAAACUGUGAAUGUGAACUCUGCUACUUUGUCAUCAGCUUUCGCCCUCUUAUGCCUUUAUCAUACGUGGCAUGUGUAUGGCGAUUUGUACAAUGUGAUAGUAAAGUACAUGUAUGUAAAGGCUGCUAUUGUUGCUCAAGUGCUACAGUGUAAAGCCAGAGCUUUUAUAGGUCAUGCCUUUAAUGUAUCUUAAACAAUGAAUGUACCUUGUAACCAUG